UACGUAGGGUGCAAGCGUUAAUCGGAAUUACUGGGCGUAAAGCGUGCGCAGGCGGUUGUGUAAGUCAGAUGUGAAAUCCCCGGGCUCAACCUGGGAAUUGCAUUUGAGACUGCACGGCUAGAGUGUGUCAGAGGGGGGUAGAAUUCCACGUGUAGCAGUGAAAUGCGUAGAGAUGUGGAGGAAUACCGAUGGCGAAGGCAGCCCCCUGGGGUAACACUGACGCUCAUGCACGAAAGCGUGGGGAGCAAACAGG
rnacentral:rRNA from 1 species